AUGAAACAGAGAGGGGCCAGUGGCUAGGAUGCGUCAUCCAUUCGCCAGCUUUGAACCCUGGCUCUUUCUAAUGUUCACCCACAAAGGGCCCUUGUUUUCACUCUAAAUGCUGAUCAUCUGAGCGAGCUGCAGGUUGAAGUCUUGAGCCUUGUGAAAGAUGACCCAGGAGCCACCUCCCUUCCUUCGCCUUCCAAUGUCCACAGCUGGAUCAAUCAGAGUCCCAGAAAUGGCACAGGUGUGCUUCCUGCUCUGAGGGUACAUUCUAGUGUUUCAUGAAGGGGAACCGUCUGCAGAUGCGUCAGGCCACGUAGUGGUACUGAUUCGGAUUGUCUUUGUCUCUCUCCAUAUAGUCUCUGUCUAUCAGAGAUUCAAUUCUCUUUUUCAAAUCUCCAGGCUAAAAAAGAAGAAUAAAACCCCCCUAAUUACAGUGACAUUAAAUUUACAAACAUUUAUAUACAAGGGGUAUAUGCAUGAAGUAUGUAACUAUAAUUAUAGAAAUAUAUAUACAGAUAUUUAUAUGAAAAUCAUUGAUAAUUAUACACAUAUUUAUGAAAUGAACAAAACUUUCUAUUUUAAAGACAAAGUUAACGUUAUCUCUUGAUAAAAAAAGCGUCCAUGUGAGUUUAUGGUCAGAGCAUGGCUUCCUGAGGGAAACGUGAAACUUGUGAAAUGUACAUACAUCAUCUGCCAUCAGUAAGGGCACAUAUAAGAGAGGCAGAUCCGACAUCUGCCAUCNNNNNNNNNNCUGCCAUGAGUAAGGGCACGUAUAAGCGAGGCAGAUCCGACAUCUGCCAUCAGUAAGGGCACGUAUAAGCGAGGCAGACCCGACAUCUGCCAUGAGUAAGGGCACGUAUAAGCGAGGCAGAUCCGACAUCUGCCAUCAGUAAGGGCACGUAGAAGCGAGGCAGACCCGACAUCUGCCAUCAGUAAGGGCACGUAUAAGCGAGGCAGACCCGACAUCUGCCAUCAGUAAGGGCACGUAUAAGCGAGGCAGAUCCGACAUCUGCCAUCAGUAAGGGCACGUAGAAGCGAGGCAGACCCGACAUCUGCCAUCAGUAAGGGCGCGUAGAAGCGAGGCAGACCCGACAUCUGCCAUCAGUAAGGGCGCGUAUAAGC
rnacentral:lncRNA from 1 species